CUCAAGCGCUCUUGUUGUCUUCCUGGGCAGGUGGUGCCAAUAGGAUGUACUGACAGAUCAGAAGUGGUCGUGAGAGAAGGAGCAAGUAGCCAGAAGAGUGAAGUGUGCACUGGCUGAGAUGUGGGAGCAGGUGUUGUUGGUUUCCCCGGAGUAAGUUACCUUGAGUGAGUUAAGGUUAAGAUAUCCCAGGGGUGAGGUUGAGCAGGCAGUUGUGUAUGUGACCCUGGGGAAAGUCUAGCUGAAGAUACAAAGAUGGGAUGAGAUCACCAAGGAGUAAGUGUCUUUAGCAAAGAGAAGAGACCAAGGACUGAAUCUGGAUACCUCAACAUUUGGAGUCAGAGCCUGAAAAGGAUCCCUCAAAAGUGCCCAAGAAGCAGCAGAAUGAGGAAAGACAGCCCAGGGAGUGUGGCACAGCUGCUCCUCACCACUUCAGGCUCCCCUGGAGUCCAAUGCACUGGGGCCUCAUUCCUGGGUAUUAUAAUUGCCUCCUAAGUGGCCUCUGGCUUAUGUCUCCUACCCCAGUUGAUGUUCAUCACAUCAGCCAGAGUGGCUCUGUUAACACCCAAGCCAGUUCCUGCCCAUCUGCUGAGAAUCUUCAAGGGCUUUCACCUCACUCUGAGUCGAAGCCAAUAUCUUCACAAUGGCCUGGCCCUUUGCCAACUGCUGUGGUUUAAAUGUUUGUACCCUUCAAAACUUAGGUUGAAAUUUGCUUGGCAACAUGGUGGUGGCAGGAGGUGGAACCUUUGGGAUGUGAUAGGGCCAAGGGCUCUGCCCUCAGGGGUAGGAUUAAUGCUGUUACAAAAGAGCAAGUUUGACUUUCUUUUGCCUCUUUGCCCUUCUACCUUCCUUCCUGGGAGGAUGCAGCAAGAAGGCCCUCGCCAGAUAUCAAGGCCUUAAGCUUGGACUUCCCAGCCUCCAGAACUGUGAGUCAAUAAAUUUGUUUAUUAAAAAUCACCCAGUCUCAAGCAGCACAGGUGGACUAAGACACCACCUCUCUGAAUUUACCUCCAGCUACUCUGGUGUUUACUGAGUCCAGCAAUACAAAACAUGAUCCUCCCUCAGGGCAUUCACAAAUGCUGUUCUCCCUGCAUGGAAUGCUCAUCCCCCAAAACAUUUGCACAGCUU
rnacentral:lncRNA from 10 species